UAACGCGUAAGGAACUUGCCUCUUGGACUGGGACAACUGUUGGAAACGACAGCUAAUACCGGAUAUUAUGAGAUUCUCGCAUGAGAAACUUAUGAAAGCUAUAUGCGCCAAGAGAGAGCCUUGCGUUCCAUUAGCUAGUUGGUGGGGUAAUGGCCCACCAAGGCGACGAUGGAUAGCCGGCCUGAGAGGGUGAACGGCCACAAGGGGACUGAGACACGGCCCUUACUCCUACGGGAGGCAGCAGUGGGGAAUAUUGGACAAUGGGCCACAAGCCUGAUCCAGCAAUUCUGUGUGCACGAUGAAGGUCUUCGGAUUGUAAAGUGCUUUCAGUUGGGAAGAAGAAAGUGACGGUACCAACAGAAGAAGCGACGGCUAAAUACGUGCCAGCAGCCGCGGUAAUACGUAUGUCGCAAGCGUUAUCCGGAUUUAUUGGGCGUAAAGCGCGUCUAGGCGGAAAAAUAAGUCUGAUGUUAAAAUGCGGGGCUCAACUCCGUAUUGCGUUGGAAACUGUUUUUCUAGAGUACUGGAGAGGUGGGCGGAACUACAAGUGUAGAGGUGAAAUUCGUAGAUAUUUGUAGGAAUGCCGAUGGAGAAGUCAGCUCACUGGACAGAUACUGACGCUGAAGCGCGAAAGCGUGGGGAGCAAACAGGAUUAGAUACCCUGGUAGUCCACGCCGUAAACGAUGAUCACU
rnacentral:rRNA from 1 species